GCGAAUUUUCCACUUUAUUCACAUAGUCAUUUCAGUAAACACCUGCAGUCAUUUCACUAUCUGAAACGGUAUGUGGAGUAUUAAAGGAGUGCGCUGCGGUUUGUAUUAUAUUCACAUUCUUAUGUUGGGUUUGAAUUCCACUGGCUUGUAUUUUAGCAAACUGUCUGUAUAUGACCUGUACGUUUACAUGUCUGGCAAACUGCAUUUCGAAAACGACAUGUAUUACGCCUGUGUUUUCCACCGCAACUAUAACAAGUUCCUUUAAAUGGAGCUGUGACAUCAGUGCGUGGUGAUAAGUCUUUUGAUUUAGU